GCAUCGGCGAUCGAUCUGGGCAGCAUCCCGCAUGCUGCACGUACAUUGACCGAGUGAGUGAGAAGCCUUCACCGGUUUUCCACAGCCUCCGCAUCCCAAGGCUAGUAGCUUCUGCAUCUUUGCUGCAAGAGACCGAGAAAUUUGAAUGCGAAAAACUGUCACGAAAACACGUCAUAGACGGCUACCGCUAGUCGCACGCAGCAUUCGUAAGCAUCUCGGUGCGGUUCAAUGAACUAGGACUAGGACUAGGAGUAGGGAUAGUCUGUAGUGAGUCACCGAUGUUCUGCUGGCCGAUAUUUACGAUCUGACAGGCGGCAGACUGCCGCAGCAAACUGUACUAUACGGGCAGCUGCCAGAGAAUUAACGUGCGGCGGUGUUUAUAUUGUAAACAGGUGGAACGUUGGUUUAUAGCAGCAUGGCAGGCAUAGGAGAACAUGCG